rnacentral:rRNA from 1 species
UCAGGACGAACGCUGGCGGCGUGCUUGACACAUGCAAGUCGAACGGGGAUAUUAUUGGAAGGGCUUCGGCCUGGAAGGUGAUAUUCGAGUGGCGGACGGGUGAGUAACGCGUGAGCAAUCUGUCCCAGACAGGGGGAUAACACUUGGAAACAGGUGCUAAUACCGCAUAAGACCACGGCAUCACAUGGUGCAGGGGUAAAAGGAGGAAUCCGGUUUGGGGUGAGCUCGCGUCCGAUUAGCCAGUUGGCGGGGUAACGGCCCACCAAAGCGACGAUCGGUAGCCGAUCUGAGAGGAUGACCGGCCACAUUGGAACUGAGAGGCGGUCCAAACUCCUACGGGAGGCAGCAGUGGGGAAUAUUGGGCAAUGGGCGAAAGCCUGAACCCCAGCAACGCCGCGUGAGUGAAGAAGGCUUUCGGGUUGUAAAGCUCUGUUAUAGGUGACGAAGGAAGUGACGGUAGCCUAUAAGGAAGCCCCGGCUAACUACGUGCCAGCCGCAGC